rnacentral:rRNA from 1 species
GACGAACGCUGGCGGCGUGCUUAACACAUGCAAGUCGAACGGAAAGGCCCGGUUUUGGGGCGGUGCUCGAGGGGCCAACGGGGGAGUAACACGUGGGUAACCUGCCCUUGACCGUGGGGGGACUUCAGGAAACUGGGUGUAAUACCGGAUAGGAGUUACUGCUGCAUGGUGGGGGUGGGAAAGAUUCGGCGGUUGGGGGUGGACUCGCGGCUUAUCGGCUUGUUGGUGGGGUAGUGUCUUAGCAAGGCUUUGACGGGUAGCAGGCCUGAGAGGGUGACAGGCCCCACUGGGCCUGAGAUACGGCACAGCCUCGUCCCGGAGGCAGCGGUGGGGAAUAUUGCACAAUGGGCGGAAGCCUGAUGCAGCCCCGCCGCGCGCGGGAUGACGGGCUUCCGGUUGUAUUCCGCUUCCCUUUGUGCCGAAGCGUGAGUGACGGUAAUGGGUAAAGAAGCACCGGCUAACUACGUG